rnacentral:rRNA from 1 species
AGUGAACGCUGGCGGUAGGCCUAACACAUGCAAGUCGAACGGCAGCACAGAGGAGCUUGCUCCUUGGGUGGCGAGUGGCGGACGGGUGAGGAAUACAUCGGAAUCUACUCUGUCGUGGGGGAUAACGUAGGGAAACCUACGCUAAUACCGCAUACGACCUACGGGUGAAAGCAGGGGACCUUCGGGCCUUGCGCGAUUGAAUGAGCCGAUGUCGGAUUAGCUAGUUGGCGGGGGAAAGGCCCACCAAGGCGACGAUCCGUAGCUGGUCUGAGAGGAUGAUCAGCCACACUGGAACUGAGACACGGUCCAGACUCCUACGGGAGGCAGCAGUGGGGGAUAUUGGACAAUGGGCGCAAGCCUGAUCCAGCCAUACCGCGUGGGUGAAGAAGGCCUUCGGGUUGUAAAGCCCUUUUGUUGGGAAAGAAAUCCAGCUGGCUAAUACCCGGUUGGGAUGACGGUACCCAAAGAAUAAGCACCGGCUAACUUCGUGCCAGCCGCCGCGGUAA